UUUUUAACAUUUUUUCAGGUUAUGAAGAUGCUAGAAAGAAAAGUAGUGAUGGAUCCUACCUUGCUGAGAUUAAAAAUUACACGCAUGCUGCAGAGGAUUCGUUGAGGGGGACAAGCAAAAUUUUAUUGGUUUCGUGCUUGAACCCAUCAUUUUGCCAAGACACUAUUUACAUGGUUAGCUUGGCAUCACGGUCAUGUCAUUGGAUUUGUCGGGCAUUCUUAGAUUCCACCAAGAGAAAUGCAAGUUCAGCAAAACAAAUGGUGAAUUCUCAUAAGAACUA